CACGGGGAGGUAGUGACAA
rnacentral:siRNA from 1 species